rnacentral:lncRNA from 1 species
UGUUUGGGAACACAUCUUGAGAAAUUGGAAAUAGACCGCGUUCGCUUUUCUGCAGUUCAGUCUGCCAAGAAGAUCGAAGAAGCAAAGAAGGAAAAACCAAAAGGCAAAUUUGAGGUACCAUUCAAUCUAAUCAUGGGUCCUGCGUGUGAUACUAAGUGAUCGAGCUGGUAGCUACAGUUAUGAGGCAAGUUUUAAUUUUUGGUAUCAGCAAUUUUGAUUCAAUGCAUGUGAAGUGUUUCAUGUUUUGCAAAAGAGUUUCAACAUUCUUUAGAUUUCACUGGCAGUGACGUCUUCAUCUGUGCAGGGUGCAGGGGAACAGAGCCAAUAACAGUGCGAGAUGGAACAGAGCCAAUAACAGUGCGAGAUCAAGUUCUUCAAUAUGGUUAUAUGGUUGGUCUUGUGCUUGAUUAGAUGAAAAACGUUGUAGUAUCUCUAACAUUUUCGUCUUUAUGCUUUGCGCUUCUGUGCUAUGAUGACUGAACAAUCUGGUUUCACAUCUUUUGUUUGUGUGUUUCUUGCUUUCUUCAGUACAAUUGAGUAGCUUUUGAGCAGAGUUCAUCCUUUCCAAAAUUUUCUAGUGUGUUUUCUUUGGUUUUAGGUGAAAGCUAGUGCCUAAACUACCAUCUAUAAAGCACCCUGAGGGGAAGUUGGAAGAAUAAUGGAUGAGAAUGUUAAGAAAAGCUAUCAUAAUCUACACAAGGAAUUAGACUAUGACAAGAUAAAGUAAAAUGAUUCCUUGUAAAGCCAAGUAUGAAAACAAAGCAUGUGUUUGAAUACGACUGCUUGAAGCAUAAAUUGCACUCAAAUUCUUCUUUUCUCCAUUCUUUCUGUUGGGAGUUUUUCAACAUCAGUUUCUCUAAUUUCUGUAUCUAAUUUCUGUUGGAUUUAUCAGCAUAAGUUUUCUCCAUCAUAUGUUGAUUGAUAUUUCCAUCAUAAACUUAUGAUGAUAUAUCCAAAAUAAACUUAUGAUAAAAAACACUGCAUCAAAAACAAGUUCUCAGAAAGAUACACAAAAAGCC